rnacentral:rRNA from 1 species
AAGUGGCAGACGGGUGAGUAAAGCGGGGGAACCUGCCCUGUGGUAGGGAAUAACCGCGGGAAACUGCGGCUAAUACCCUAUGUGUCCUGAGGGACAAAGAUUUAUCGCCAUAGGAGGGGCCCGCGUCGGAUUAGGUAGUUGGUGGGGUAACGGCCUACCAAGCCAUCGAUCCGUAGCUGGUCUGAGAGGAUGAUCAGCCACACUGGGACUGAGAUACGGCCCAGACUCCUACGGGAGGCAGCAGUGGGGAAUAUUGGACAAUGGGGGCAACCCUGAUCCAGCAAUGCCGCGUGGAUGAUGAAGGCCUUCGGGUUGUAAAGUCCUUUCGGCGGGGAAGAUGAUGACGGUACCCGCAAAAGAAGCCCCGGCUAACUUCGUGCCAGCAGCCGCGGUAAUACGAAGGGGGCUAGCGUUGUUCGGAAUUACUGGGCGUAAAGGGCGCGUAGGCUGUGCUGUAAGUCAGGCGUGAAAGGCCCGGGCUCAACCUGGGAACUGCGCAUGA